rnacentral:rRNA from 1 species
CAAUUGGAGAGUUUGAUCCUGGCUCAGAACGAACGCUGGCGGCGUGCCUAACACAUGCAAGUCGAGCGCGAAUGGGGCAACCCUAGUAGAGCGGCGCACGGGUGCGUAACACGUGGAUAAUCUGCCUGGAUGCCUGGGAUAACCAGUCGAAAGAUUGGCUAAUACCGGAUAAGCCCACGGUUUCUUCGGAGACUGAGGGAAA